CUUUGGAGUAUAAUCGUGAACAUAUUAUUGUAUUUCCCGAAUGGGCAAACUUCCUAUGCAUCCAGCAAUAAACUCACCAACUACGUGUGGUAUUUUGAAGGAAUCUGUUUCUCAGGCAUCAUGAUGCUUAUAGUAACAACAGUUCUUCUGGUACUGGAGAAUAAAAACAACUAUAAAUGUUGCCAGAGUGAAAACUGCAGCAAAAAAUAUGUGGUAAGAGCAAUAGUUUUUUUGAGGAUGGUUGAAUGGGCUCCAGCUUUCUUUCCUCUCACUCAGAAACACAAAAAUAUUGACAGUAUUGUACCCUCACUACUGUUGAGUACAGUACAGAGAUCAAGAGUUUACUGCCAAGAUCACCUUCCAUUUUGCUUAGUCUUUCCUCCACUUUUGUUCUACUGAUGCGCUUUCAGAAAAUCAGCAUUUAAAGAUACCUAAAAUUAGGAAAUAAUACUUUUUCCUAACUGAGUUUACAUUAGUCUAUUUUUUCUUUAUAAACUUUAUUGAGGGGUAAAUUACAUAUAAUAAGUGGCAUCCAUUAGAAGUAUGCAAUAUCAUGAGUUUUAACAGUUGACUACACUCAUGAAACCACCAUUGCAGUCAAGAUAGCAGAAU
rnacentral:sRNA from 1 species